UUCAGUAAAUAUUAAAAUUCAACUUUUUUGGCCAUUUUAUCAAAAUUGUCAGUAAUUGCAUUAACUUAUAAAAAUAAAUACAUUUUGUAAUUGUGACAAGUAUUAAUAAAUAAUAAAUCAAGGCAGCAAGUGUGAUUUCUACUUGAGAUUCAUCAUAAUAUAUAUUUUUUAUUGGCAUUGUAAAUGGAAAAGACUUACACAAAUACUGGAAAAUAUAUUCAGUAUUCAUUAUCUUCGCUUGUCAGUUACUUCCUUCCUAGUGCAAUCCUAGUGCCUUAACAGAUAAGUGAUUAUCAUCUCUAUGCAGUUAAUUAUUGCAAAUCAUGGAUUGCAUAGAUCUGUUUCUAGCUUCUAGGGCAAUGGAAUACUUUAGUAGUGGUUGGUACGAAUAGCAUUAUACAAUGUAAUACUUCAGAGUUGC